GCCGAAGUGGUGGAAUGUGGCAGACACACAGCGUUCAGGGCGUUGCGAGCGUGAGCUCGUGUGGGUUCGACUCCCACCUUCGGCAC
rnacentral:tRNA from 1 species